ACAAAUUUAAAUUUGUUUAAAAAAAAUUUAAGAAAUUUGAUUCCAUCUUUGCCUCCCUAAAAAUCUUUUAAACCUUUGUUUCUCUUUCUCAAGAUAGGCCUUGGGAUUUUAGAUUUCUCCUUUGGUUCAGAUGAGUUCUUUUCCAGAAUUCAUUGUCGUCUCAGUUGUGGACCUGCUUGAAGGAAUCACUUUCAUAAAAGGGAAUAUGUCCUGGCUUCUUAGAGAACUGUUGGGUGAAGAUUAUUUCUCUUCAGGAUGAAGAUCUUGCCAAAAUGUUGUAUCCAUGUCCCUGCUAGUAUUACCUACUGUUCCAGAAACCUGGUUUGCGGAUAAAAAGUCACUGAGCCCUUCCGUGCCGUCGGUGGCAGGUCCCAUCAUCAUUCCCAGAUGGAGCUGUGGAUAUUUGAGAGCUGCGCUCCAGGUGUGGAUAUGUGGGGGUGGACUCAAGAGUGUGGGAGCCGUCGUGAUGCCGGGUCAAAGGGACAAGCACUCGAGGAUACCUCGUUAGGAGGACUCCCUGUUUCAGGGCCCCGAGCUGGGGUUCACACCUCCUCAA
rnacentral:lncRNA from 1 species